ACAUACGACCAUAGGGUGUGGAAAAUAGGGCUUCCCGUCCGCUCAGCCGUACUCAAGCCACACGCCGGGAGGUUAGUAGUUGGGUGGGUGACCACCAGCGAAUCCCUUCUGUUUUUAUUG
rnacentral:rRNA from 1 species